CCCGGAGAUGGAUUCUGAGACAGGAGUCCAGGCCCUACGGGGCGCAGGCAGGCGCGAAAACUUUGCAAUGCGGGAAACCGCGACAAGGGAACUCCAAGUGCCUAUGCACAGCAUAGGCUGUUCGAUUGCCUAAAAAGCAGUCGGAGUAAGGGCUGGGUAAGUCCGGUGCCAGCCGCCGCGGUAAUACCGGCAGCCCGAGUGGUGGUCUUUAUUAUUGGGUCUAAAGCGUCCGUAGCCGGUCCUUCAAAUCCCUGGGUAAAUCGGGCAGCUCAACUGUCCGACUUCCGGGGAGACUGUAGGACUUGGGACCGGGAGAGGUCGGAGGUACUCCUGGGGUAGGGGUGAAAUCCUAUAAUCCCAGGGGGCCCCCCGGUGGCGAAGGCGUCCGACUAGAACGGAUCCGACGGUGAGGGACGAAACCCUGGGGAGCGAACCGGAUUAGAUACCCGGGUAGUCCAGGGCGUAAACGCUGCAGGUUUGGUGUUGGAGGUAGGUACGUGUGCUUUCAGUGCCGGAGAGGGGGCCUUGACUUUUUCCACCUGGGGAGUAUGCUCGCAAAGAGUGAAACUUAAA
rnacentral:rRNA from 1 species